rnacentral:lncRNA from 1 species
UUUGGCUACUGUUCAUUAGUUGAUGCUGAAACUGUUCUUACUGAAGCCUUCUGCUUCAAAUUGAGGGUGACAACAUUGACUCUCCUGGUUCUCAGACCUCUGGAUAUGAGACCUCUGGCGCAACUCACCCCUGGCUUGCACCAAACAUUCUUAAAAUGUUUAUUGGGGUCAGGUGCAAUGGCUCGCACCUGCAAUCCCAGCGCUUUGGGAGGCCAAGGCAGGAGGACUGCUUGAGACCAGGAGUUCAAGACCAGCCUGUACAACAAGACAAUUUGGCCAGGAAGUGACCGGCAAUGGAAAGAGGGAAAUAAUCAGCACAUCCGCAUGUGUGCCCAUCUCAGAGACACAAACUGUGAAUAACAACUCACUUGGCUUCAUAACCAAGACCUACUCUGAGGAAUUGCAUCUCUUCCUUGGAGACCUUGAUUGGCCUGCUAGGUUAAAGUACAGACAGGAUUUCCACAUGUCGCCAGGCUGAUCUCAGACCUGGAUCUUCCCACCUCAGCCUCUGAACGUGCUGGGAUUACAGUUGAAGGUCUGGAAUGGAAACUCCUAUUGUGAUCUUAAGGGCUGUAACCCAGAGAAUCUGGUUCUUCCUGGAGUAUUUCAGCAGGGAUCAGCUUAAAUAGGUCCACUUGAAGUUCACAACUGCCAAAACCGCGUGUUCAGACUGAAAGGCUGGGAGCAUUUCAGACGCAUUUAUGAACUUCCACCAAGAUGAUCCGGCAGGCUGAAAUCGCAGGGAGAGCGUCUGUUCAACAAACCCUUUCUUCUUGAUUGAAUUAGUGUUGCCCACUAACAGGAUGAGGAAUUCCCACUCCACAAGCUGACUUUUUUUCCUCUUUCCACCUCCCGCCUCCCUCCAUUAAAAUGUAAACUUGAUUCCUGUGUCCUUUGCCGGAGCCUGGCUUCCCUGUAAGCCCAUCAUAAACAUCUUGGUAGAAAUGCAA